UACGUAGGGGCCUAGCGUUGUCCGGAUUUAUUGGGCGUAAAGAGCUCGUAGGCGGUUCGGCAAGUCGGAUGUGAAAUCUCCACGCUCAACGUGGAGGGGCCAUUCGAAACUGCCGUGACUCGAGUCCGGGUAGGGGAGUGUGGAAUCCCGGGUGUAGCGGGUGAAAUGCGCAGAUAUCGGGAGGAACACCAGAGCGAAGGCGGCACUCUGGGCCGGUACUGGACGCUGAG
rnacentral:rRNA from 1 species